UACGAGGGGGGCUAGCGUUGCUCGGAAUCACUGGGCGUAAAGCGCACGUAGGCGGCUUCUCAAGUCAGGGGUGAAAUCCUGGAGCUCAACUCCAGAACUGCCUUUGAUACUGAGGGGCUCGAGUCCGGGAGAGGUGAGUGGAACUGCGAGUGUAGAGGUGAAAUUCGUAGAUAUUCGCAAGAACACCAGUGGCGAAGGCGGCUCACUGGCCCGGUACUGACGCUGAGGUGCGAAAGCGUGGGGAGCAAACAGG
rnacentral:rRNA from 1 species